UCGGGAAUUUUGGGCAAUGGGCGAAAGCCUGACCCAGCAACGCCGCGUGAAGGAUGAAGUAUUCCGGUAUGUAAACUUCGUAAGAAUAGGAAGAAUAAAUGACGGUACUAUUUAUAAGGUCCGGCUAACUACGUGCCAGCAGCCGCGGUAAUACGUAGGGACCAAGCGUUGUUCGGAUUUACUGGGCGUAAAGGGCGCGUAGGCGGCAAUUCAAGUCAUCUGUGAAAUCUCCGGGCUUAACUCGGAACGGUCAGAUGAUACUGCUUUGCUAGAGUGCAGAAGGGGCAAUCGGAAUUCUUGGUGUAGCGGUGAAAUGCGUAGAUAUCAAGAGGAACACCUGAGGUGAAGACGGGUUGCUGGGCUGACACUGACGCUGAGGCGCGAAAGCCAGGGGAGCAAACGGGAUUAGAUACCCACGUAGUCCCUGAGCGGGCUGGCAAGGCGCAU
rnacentral:rRNA from 1 species